AAAGGGACACGUGUCGAUCUAUAUACAUCCCACGUGGCGACAAGAUUUCUAGGCUGCGACACCUAUUAGUAACUGUGACUUUGCCUAUUUGUUUCUCUUAUAUAAACCCAUACUUUGAGUGAAGUAAAUGUAAAGCACAAAAUCGUCACCCAAAUUUAGCACAAGUUGUGGUUUUGAUUUUUCAAUCGUCAGAAAAAUGGGUUCAGAAACGUUUCUGGAAGUGAUAUUGGCAAUCGUCCUCCCACCUGUGGGAGUCUUCCUUCGUUAUGGCUGUGCAGUGGAGUUCUGGAUAUGUUUGUUGCUGACAAUAUUGGGAUACAUACCUGGAAUCAUAUACGCAUUAUAUGUACUCGUCGGAUGAAUCGGUUGAAGCUUAAUUUGGAUCAUCAAGAACAAUAAGUGUGGGUGUUUAGUUUGUUCAAUUUGUUUUGCUGGUCAUGGGGAAGAUGAUUCAGUCGGGUUCUUCCUUACUUCUGGGGUUCUUGCUGGUGUGAUCUCCGCUACUCAUGAAAGUCGCUGGUUCGUGUCAAUGAGUGGUUUUCUGCGACGGUGGCUGCAGCUUCGGACGACCUAGUUUAGGUUUUUUUUGUUUUGCUGUUGUGUGGCUUUGUUUUCUGUUUGUUGCUGUUUUUUGUUUGUUUGCAACCCUCCUUUUCUCUUGUAUUUAACUUCUUGUUGGGCAUGUGUUGUACUUACUUUUGUUGGUAAUAAAUUUACCCUUUGUACCAAAGGAAAAAGAAAAAGAAAAAACU